rnacentral:rRNA from 1 species
UAUGGCGACCGGCGCACGGGUGAGUAACACGUAUCCAACCUGCCGAUGACUCGGGGAUAGCCUUUCGAAAGAAAGAUUAAUACCCGAUGGCAUAGUUCUUCCGCAUGGUGGAACUAUUAAAGAAUUUCGGUCAUCGAUGGGGAUGCGUUCCAUUAGGUUGUUGGCGGGGUAACGGCCCAUCAAGCCUUCGAUGGAUAGGGGUUCUGAGAGGAAGGCCCCCCACAUUGGAACUGAGACACGGUCCAAACUCCUACGGGAGGCAGCAUG